rnacentral:rRNA from 1 species
GAGUUUGAUCCUGGCUCAGGAUGAACGCUGGCGGCGUGCCUAAUACAUGCAAGUCGAGCGAACAGAUAAGGAGCUUGCUCCUUUGAAGUUAGCGGCGGACGGGUGAGUAACACGUGGGUAACCUACCUAUAAGACUGGGAUAACUUCGGGAAACCGGAGCUAAUACCGGAUAAUAUUUAGAACCGCAUGGUUCUAAAGUGAAAGAUGGUUUUGCUAUCACUUAUAGAUGGACCCGCGCCGUAUUAGCUAGUUGGUAAGGUAACGGCUUACCAAGGCGACGAUACGUAGCCGACCUGAGAGGGUGAUCGGCCACACUGGAACUGAGACACGGUCCAGACUCCUACGGGAGGCAGCAGUAGGGAAUCUUCCGCAAUGGGCGAAAGCCUGACGGAGCAACGCCGCGUGAGUGAUGAAGGGUUUCGGCUCGUAAAACUCUGUUAUUAGGGAAGAACAAAUGUGUAAGUAACUGUGCACAUCUUGACGGUACCUAAUCAGAAAGCCACGGCUAACUACGUGCCAGCAGCCGCGGUAAUACG